ACGCUCGACACCUACGGGGGCAGCAGUCGGGAAUAUUGCGCAAUGGAGGAAACUCUGACGCAGUGACGCCGCGUGCAGGAAGAAGGUUUUCGGAUUGUAAACUGCUUUAGACAGGGAAGAACAAAUGACAGUACCUGUAGAAUAAGCUCCGGCUAACUACGUGCCAACAGCCGCGGUAAUCUGAGCGGGCUGGCAAGGC
rnacentral:rRNA from 1 species